rnacentral:rRNA from 1 species
GACGAACGCUGGCGGCGUGCUUAACACAUGCAAGUCGAACGGGUCUGCCCUGUUUUUUGCGGGGUGGGUCAGUGGCGAACGGGAGAGUAACACGUGAGUAACCUGCCCCUCACGUCUGGAUAACCGCUUGAAAGGGUGGCUAAUACGGGGUGUUCUGGCUGUGCCGCAUGGUGUGGCUGGGAAAGAUGCACUUGUGUGGGGUUGUGGCGGGUGAUGGGCUCGCGGCCUAUCAGCUUGUUGGAGGGGUGGUGGCCUGCCAGGGCUUUGACGGGUAGCCGGCCUGCGAGGGUGGGCGGUCGCACGGGGACUGAGGGACGGCCCAGCCUCCUGCGGGCGGCAGCAGUGGGGGGUAUUGCACAAUGGGCGGAAGCCUGAUGCCGCGACGUCGCGUGAGGGCUGGAGGCCUUCGGGUUGUGAACCUCUUUCGCCGGUGCAGAAGGUCCUGCUCUUUGUGGUGGGGUUGGCGGUUGCCGGGUGAUGAAGCGCCGGCUAACUACGUG